rnacentral:rRNA from 1 species
GACGUAGGGCGCGAGCGUUGUCCGGAUUUAUUGGGCGUAAAGAGCGUGUAGGCGGCCACUUAAGUCCUGCGUGAAAUCUUGCGGCUCAACCGCAAGCGGUCGUGGGAAACUGGGUGGCUAGAGUGCGGGAGAGGAGAGUGGAAUUCCUGGUGUAGCGGUGGAAUGCGCAGAUAUCAGGAAGAACACCCGUGGCGAAGGCGGCUCUCUGGAACGCAACUGACGCUGAGACGCGAAAGCGUGGGGAGCAAACAGG